GGCUCCUGGGAUGGUUCUUCCCGUUCUUUGCGCCGCCUUCACCCAUUGAAGAGCCUGUGCCCACCCUGCCCAGUCGCUCUCGGGGCCGCGGAGGAGCUUCCGCUGCCAUCUUCGGAUCCUGUGUUCCGCACGGGGGCUCCACCAGGGCAGGGAUGGUGCAGAAUGGGGAAAUGGAGAGAGAACCUGAAAGAGCCCCAAACUCGAGGACCUAUUGCUCCCCAAGAAUAACAUCUUCCAGAAGAACUAGACAGAAAACUAGGCGUCUGGGAACUCUGAAAUCCUUGGAGGAGUAGCAUCAUCAUGACCCUCUGUGUUCCUUUUGGCAAAGGACUUGCUCCCAUUGUUUGCUUGUUCCAUUGUCUGUCUGUUAAAUAAAUAAAACCCUUUUCAUAUAUCUUUAAACUUA
ensembl:lncRNA novel transcript